rnacentral:rRNA from 1 species
UUAAAAGGGUGCGCAGCCGUUGGAACAAGUCAGUGGUGAAAGCCCGGGGCUUAACUUCGGGAUUGCCAUUGAAACUGUUUCACUUGAGUGUAGUUGAGGACGGCGGAAUGAGUUGUGUACCGGUGAAAUGCAUAGAUAUAACUCAGAACACCAAUUGCGAAGGCAGCUGUCUAGACUACAACUGACGCUGAGGCACGAAAGCGUGGGUAGCGAACAGGAUUAGAUACCCUGGUAGUCCACGCUGUAAACGAUGAUCACUCGUUGUUGGCUACUUAGUAGUCAGUGACUAAGGGAAACCGAUAAGUGAUCCACCUGGGGAGUACGUCGGCAACGAUGAAACUCAAAGGAAUUGACGGGGGCCCGCACAAGCGGAGGAACAUGUGGUUUAAUUCGAUGAUACGCGAGGAACCUUACCUGGGCUUAAAUGCUGGCUGCAUUCACGCGAAAGCGUGAUUUCCUACGGGACCGCCAGCAAGGUGCUGCAUGGUUGUCGUCAGCUCGUGCCGUGAGGUGUCGGGUUAAGUCCCAUAACGAGCGCAACCCCUAUCGUUAGUUGCCAGCAUGUAAUGGUGGGGACUCUAACGAGACUGCCGGUGUAAACCGGAGGAAGGUGGGGAUGACGUCAAAUCAGCACGGCCCUUACGUCCAGGGCUACACACGUGUUACAAUGGCCGGUACAAAGAGCAGCCACCUGGCGACAGGGUGCUAAUCUCUAAAACCGGUCUCAGUUCGGAUCGAAGUCUGCAAUUCGACUUCGUGAAGAUGGAUUCGCUAGUAAUCGCGCAUCAGCCAUGGCGCGGUGAAUAAGUUCCCGGGCCUUGUACACACCGCCCGUCAAGCCAUGGAAGCCGGGGGUACCUGAAGUCCGUAACC